rnacentral:rRNA from 1 species
GACAGAGGGUGCAAACGUUGUUCGGAAUUACUGGGCGUAAAGCGCGUGUAGGCGGCCAUCUAAGUCGGGCGUGAAAUCCCACGGCUCAACCGUGGAAGUGCACUCGAAACUGGAUGGCUAGAGUCCUGGAGAGGAAGGUGGAAUGCUUGGUGUAGAGGUGAAAUUCGUAGAUAUCGGGAGGAACACCGGUGGCGAAGGCGGCGACCUGGUCCGAUACUGACGCUGAGGCGCGAAAGCGUGGGGAGCAAACAGG